rnacentral:rRNA from 1 species
GACGAACGCUGGCGGCGUGCUUAACACAUGCAAGUCGAGCGGUAAGGCCCCUUCGGGGGUACACGAGCGGCGAACGGGUGAGUAACACGUGGGUGACCUGCCCUCAGCUCUGGGAGAAGCCUGGGAAACUGGGUCGAAUACCGGCUAUGACCGAUCCUCGCAUGGGGUGUGGUGGAUAGUUAUUUCGGCUGGGGAUGGGCCCGCGGCCUGUCAGCUUGUUGGUGGGGUGAUGGCCUACCAAGGCGGCGACGGGUGGCCAGCCUGAGUGGGCGACCGGCCACGCUGUGAGUUAGGCACGGCCCUGACACCUGCGGGAGGCGUCAGUGGGAAAUAUUGCGGAAUGGGCGGCAGCCUGACGCAGCGACGCCGCGUGAUGAAUGCCGGCCUUCGGGUUGUAAACCUCUUUCGACCCCGACGAAUUUGGACGGUAGGGGUAGAAGAAGCACCGGCCAACUACGUG